AUGCAGUCGUUCACAUUAGCUUUCAAUGCAGCCACAACAAAUUGUUACUUCUUUAGCAUUUCGUAAUCGAUUAAAACCAGAAUUUAAGUCUUGUUGAGUCCUCUAGUGAAUCCUCCAUUGCUUAAGAAAAAGUGAAGAAUAGUAGCUUUGGUAUAGUGCUUACUGCUUAGAAAUUUGAUGCUGAUGAUAGUCAAAAGAAACGGUUAUCUUGACUUGAAAACUUAAUAGCUUGAUGACUCCAUUAUUUCAGGUAAAGGUGAAGUGUACACAUGGGGUUGGAAGGAGUGUGUUCCACCUGGAAAAGUUACUUGUAGUUGGACAAGUAUGAAAACCUUUGAAAGGAACAGGUCUGCAAAACAAAGUUCUACACUGACUGAGCAAGGUAUCUUAGAAAGAGUAUAUCUUAUGAGGCCUACCUUCGGCUAGAAGUGUGCAUACAAAUAUAUCGGGUACUGGACGCUAACACCUGACAUUGUUUGUAAUAGGGAGCCCACAGUCUCAAGGUCCAAAACCUUCUGUCGGAUCACUUUCUUGUUCAGAUGAUAAAAACAUUGAAGAUGAAAGUAUAAAGAGAAGAAAGGUAUCAACUCAAGAAGAAUCUGAAAUAUCAAUCCCUGCUGAAGAAACACUUUCAGCGCCACCUUGUCUUGUAAUGCUGGAUCCCCUGGUGAAAAUUACAUCUGUUGCUGCUGGUGGGCGACAUACGUUGGCAUUGUCAGGUAAAUCAACUCCUUCCUGUGUGCUGCAGUGCACCAAAUUAACAUUUUAGGCUAGGUGCUACUUCUUUGUGGUUACAAAUUAUAGUUUUGUAGGUCAUAUGAAGUAUGAAGCUAUGAAGAUCUUUAAUGUAAAGCAAGAGGUCUUAAAUGUAAAGCAAGAUACCUGAUUCAUCAUAUUUUUACCGGAUUUAGAUGUAGGACAGGUAUGGGGUUGGGGCUAUGGAGGUGACGGGCAGCUAGGUUUGGGCAACCGGGUAAAAACAGUGGCUUCUCCUCAUCUCAUUCCGUGUAUUGAUCCAUCUUCAUGCAUAAAAGACAAACCUGAUGUGGUUCAUCAAGAAAGUGAGAGUGCAGCAGCUCAGUCUCAUAAUUCUGUAGGGAAUUACAUAAGGGCCGUUGCUUGUGGAGGCAGGCACAGUGCAGUAAUAACAGGUGAGUCAUGAAGAAUUGUUAUGUGGUAAUAUUGCUUUGUAGCAAUUUUAGCCCAUUUCUUUUGUAAGGUCUUUCUUUUUUUGGUUAUCAGAUGCUGGUGUGCUGAUUGCUUUUGGCUGGGGUUUAUAUGGACAGGUGAUUUCCUUAUUGUACUGCAUUUUUUAUCCCCAAGUAUUUGCCUUCUCAUGUAGCUAGAAAAUUCAUUCCGCAUAUUUCUUGCUUCAUCUCUAAUGGGUUCCGAUUUAAUAUUUCCUAAACAUCUGACAUGUAGUAAGACUCAAAAUGGUAUUAUCUAGGGGAUCCUUGCAGUAGUAAUUUUAGAAUCAUAUGUCAAAAUUAUGUAAGUAACUUUUGGAAUGUGUUGAACGCUGUAAUAUUAGCACGUUUUUGGGCAGUAAACGUAAUCUGAAGCCAUGGGUUCAAUUAUUUAAAAUCAUUUUCGUAGCUAUACUGAAAACAAUAAUAAAAAUUCUAUGAUGAACACAGCAUAAACUUUCAUAGGUUCGGUCUGUUGCUUUAUUAUGGUUAGGGUGCGGAAAUCAAGUUGGUUUUGAGUGUGUUCUCAAAUUUGUUCAUGGAUGUUAGAUUUCCUAAUAAAUUGAAGACAGACCACAAACUACAUUCGCAUGACAUUAUUUUAUGCAGUGUGGACAAGGAAAUAGAGAAGACCUGCUGAGACCAACUUGUGUGACUUCUCUAUCGGGGACUCAGAUUGAAACAGUUGCAGCUGGGUUGUGGCAUACUAUAUGCAUCUGCAAAGAUGGUUGUGUCUAUGCUUUUGGUGGAAAUCAGUUUGGGCAAUUGGGUUUGGGAACAAAUUCUGAUCAAUGUGAGGUAUAUUCUCUGCUUAUUGUCUGAUGUACUGGAUCUGAACCUGAUACAAAUGCACUGUCUGUUCUUUUCUAUAGACUUCAUCAGAAACCAUGAGUAUGAUGUACUACUCAUUUUAGCAGUAGUGCUCUGCAACAAGGAUUAGCAGGUCCCAAACUACUCAAAGUAAUCCACUCUUACAUCAGUUGCAGCUUCAACAGCCUUCUAAAAUGUUGGUUUCUAGAAAUUGAAUCCCUUCUUUUUAAGUCUUGUUGAGUCCUCUAGUGAAUCCUCCAUUGCUUAAGAAAAAGUGAAGAAUAGUAGCUUUGGUAUAGUGCUUACUGCUUAGAAAUUUGAUGCUGAUGAUAGUCAAAAGAAACGGUUAUCUUGACUUGAAAACUUAAUAGCUUGAUGACUCCAUUAUUUCAGGUAAAGGUGAAGUGUACACAUGGGGUUGGAAGGAGUGUGUUCCACCUGGAAAAGUUACUUGUAGUUGGACAAGUAUGAAAACCUUUGAAAGGAACAGGUCUGCAAAACAAAGUUCUACACUGACUGAGCAAGGUAUCUUAGAAAGAGUAUAUCUUAUGAGGCCUACCUUCGGCUAGAAGUGUGCAUACAAAUAUAUCGGGUACUGGACGCUAACACCUGAUAUUGUUUGUAAUAGGG
rnacentral:lncRNA from 1 species